rnacentral:rRNA from 1 species
UACGUAGGGUGCAAGCGUUGUCCGGAAUUAUUGGGCGUAAAGAGCUCGUAGGCGGUCUGUCGCGUCGGCUGUGAAAUCCCGAGGCUCAACCUCGGGUCUGCAGUCGAUACGGGCAAACUAGAGUAUUGCAGGGGAGACUGGAAUUCCUGGUGUAGCGGUGAAAUGCGUAGAUAUCUGGAGGAACACCGGUGGCGAAGGCGGCAUCCUGGACCGGUAUUGACGCUGAGGCGCGAAAGCUAGGGGAGCAAACGGG